GAUUCGGGUCUGUGAGUGCUGUCCUGACAGAUAAAUUGGUUGGAAUUCAAUUGUCUGUGACAAGAGGGCUAGCUUCCUCGAUUGCUGUCUGCCUGGGACUGCGAGGAGCUUGGGAGGCCAGAGCUUGCUUGAGAACUGCUUCUGCUAGUUCCCUGCCAUGGAGCCUCCCACCUCCAGCAAGAGAUGGGGAGUAGAUGUGACUCUCUCAGGCUGGUUGACCGAGCUGCUCUAAGGCCCUGUUUAUCUCCAAGCCCCAGAUUACCUCACCCAUGAAAUGCCAACCAUGAAGGGGCAUGGUCAAGAUGAAGCAAAAGGACACAGCAUUUGCCAAAGGAUUGUUUGCAUUUCUGCAGUGAGUGAGGGACUCAGAACAGUUGAAAAAUAUUCUACAAGUGAUCCAUCCAGGAGGCAGCUGAUAUGAGCUUUGAACUCGGGUCUUUCUGCCUCGUCUCCAGAGCUGCUGCUUUCUCCUUCCCCGGUGUAUGGAGCCUGGGUUUCCCAUUCUGUUUUAUUCAACUCUGCCACUGCAGUGCCAGGAAACCGGCCAUCAUUUGCAUGUGUGUUCAGGAAUGGACAGCAGUUUCUGGCCCUCCGGGAAUUUGCCAGGUGACCACUGGCUCCCUGUAUGCUCCUCCCAGGCCUCAGUUUCUACAUCUGUAGAAUGGUCCCCCAGUCACCUGCUGCUCAUGGGUCCCAGGAAAGAGAUGUUGGGGUGUGGAUGCUAGACCCUUGAACAGGUCUGAGCUCAAGUCCAGCACUGAUUGCAAUCACCCACGUUUGCCACAAGU